GCGAAAGUGGUGAAGGGGUUAACACACCGGAUUGUGGCUCCGGCAUGCGUGGGUUCGAAUCCCAUCUUUCGCCC
rnacentral:tRNA from 1 species